rnacentral:rRNA from 1 species
UGGGGGAUAUUGCACAAUGGGCGAAAGCCUGAUGCAGCGACGCCGCGUGGGGGAUGAAGGCUUUCGGGUUGUAAACCUCUUUCGCUAUCGAACAAGGCCCGCUUAGGGUGGGUUGAGGGUAGGUGGAGAAGAAGCGCCGGCUAACUACGUGCCAGCAGCCGCGGUAAUACGUAGGGCGCGAGCGUUGUCCGGAAUUAUUGGGCGUAAAGGGCUUGUAGGCGGCUUGUUGCGCCUGCUGUGAAAACGCGGGGCUUAACUUCGCGCGUGCAGUGGUACGGGCAGGCUUGAGUGUGGUAGGGGUGACUGGAAUUCCAGGUGUAGCGGUGGAAUGCGCAGAUAUCUGGAGGAACACCGAUGGCGAAGGCAGGUCACUGGGCCAUUACUGACGCUGAGGAGCGAAAGCAUGGGUAGCGAACAGG